rnacentral:rRNA from 1 species
GACGAACGCUGGCGGCGUGCUUAACACAUGCAAGUCGAACGGAAAGGCCCUGCUUUUGUGGGGUGCUCGAGUGGCGAACGGGUGAGUAACACGUGAGUAACCUGCCCUUGACUUUGGGAUAACUUCAGGAAACUGGGGCUAAUACCGGAUAGGAGCUCCUGCAGCAUGGGGGGGGUUGGAAAGUUUCGGCGGUUGGGGAUGGACUCGCGGCUUAUCAGCUUGUUGGUGGGGUAGUGGCUUACCAAGGCUUUGACGGGUAGCCGGCCUGAGAGGGUGACCGGCCACAUUGGGACUGCGAUACGGCCCAGACUCCUACGGGAGGCAGCAGUGGGGAAUAUUACACAAUGGGCGGAAGCCUGAUGCAGCAACGCCGCGUGCGGGAUGACGGCCUUCGGGUUGUAAACCGCUUUCGCCUGUGACGAAGCGUGAGUGACGGUAAUGGGUAAAGAAGCACCGGCUAACUACGUG